GGGGCCGACUUGGUUUUGACAAUUCGGCAGAUUUUUUAGUAAGCAUGUCGUGUGCUGAAUGUACACACGUAAAUAAAUAUGUUCAAACUUUAAGUGGUAACACUUCUUACGCUCUCGCGGCCUAAUCCGACUUAGUCAGAUUACCUAAUUCCAGCUACUAGGUAGCGGAACGAGAUGCCCCGCUGCACGUUUCGUCUUUUUACGGCAGACUUGGGGUAUCGUAUAAAAAGACUAGCGAGUGUUGUGUCUAGGUGCACUCGCGAAACUCAAUAGGCUAAGCCAUGUUAUUUGCCGCUCUUAGUGUAUGCAUGGUCGAAAAUUAAGUAAGAGCUAAGCAUGAAGAAAGCUAACGGAUCCCGUAUCUGGACGAGGGUUCGAGUCCCUCCGGCUCCAC
rnacentral:tmRNA from 1 species